rnacentral:rRNA from 1 species
AUUGAACGCUGGCGGCAGGCCUAACACAUGCAAGUCGAGCGGAUGAAGGGAGCUUUCUCCUGUAUUCAGCUGCGGACGGGUGAGUAAUUCCUAGGAAUCUGCCUGGUAGUUGGGGAUAACGUCCGUAAACGGGCGCUAAUACCGCAUACGUCCUUAUAGAGAAAGGGGUGGAUCUUCAGACCUCACGCUAUCAGAUGUGCCUAGGUCGGAUUAGCUAGUUGGUUGGGUAACGGCCUACCAAGGCGACGAUCCGUAACUGGUCUGAGAGGAUGAUCAGUCACACUGGAACUGAGACACGGUCCAGACUCCUACGGGAGGCAGCAGUGGGGAAUAUUGGACAAAGGGCGAAAGCCUGAUCCAGCCAUGCCGCGUGUGUGAAGAAGGUCUUCGGAUUGUAAAGCACUUUAAGUUGGGAGGAAGGGAAGUAAGUUAAUCCAUUGCUGUUUUGACGUUACCAACAGAAUAAGCAACGGCUAACUUCGUG